rnacentral:rRNA from 1 species
GUUUGAUCCUGGCUCAGGAUAAACGCUGGCGGCGUGCAUGAGACAUGCAAGUCGAACGGACACUCGGGCUUGCUCGAGUGUUAGUGGCGGACGGCUGAGUAACGCGUAGGUGACCUGUCCCGAAGUGGGGAAUAACUGCCCGAAAGGGUGGCUAAUACCGCAUGUGUCCGUGCGUUCAUUCGUACGUGCAAAGCCGUAAGGCGCUUUGGGAGGGGCCUGCGUCCGAUUAGCUCGUUGGUGGGGUAACGGCUCACCAAGGCGACGAUCGGUAGGUGGUCUGAGAGGACGAUCACCCAGACUGGGACUGAGACACGGCCCAGACUCAUACGGGAGGCAGCAGUCGGGAAUUUUGCUCAAUGGGCGCAAGCCUGAAGCAGCAACGCCGCGUGAGGGAUGAAGGCCUUCGGGUUGUAAACCUCUUUUUCCAGGGACGAUGAUGACGGUACCUGGAGAAUAAGCCACGGCUAACUACGUGCCAGCAGCCGCGGUAAUACGUAGGUGGCAAGCGUUGUCCGGAUUUACUGGGCGUAAAGAGCGCGCAGGCGGCCAAGUCAGUCGAAUGUGAAAGCCCCCGGCUUAACUGGGGAGGGUCAUUCGAUACUGCUCGGCUCGAAGACAGGAGAGGGAAGUGGAAUUCCCGGUGUAGUGGUGAAAUGCGUAGAUAUCGGGAGGAACACCAGUGGCGAAGGCGACUUUCUGGCCUGUUCUUGACGCUGAGGCGCGAAAGCUAGGGGAGCAAACGGGAUUAGAUACCCCGGUAGUCCUAGCCGUAAACGAUGGAUACUAGGUGUUGGUGGUAUCAACCCCGCCAGUGCCGUAGCUAACGCAUUAAGUAUCCCGCCUGGGGAGUACGGCCGCAAGGCUAAAACUCAAAGGAAUUGACGGGGGCCCGCACAAGCAGCGGAGCGUGGGGUUUAAUUCGAUGCGACGCGAAGAACCUUACCAGG